CAUCUCUGCAUCCGCUGCUCCGUUUCUCCCUCGCUCUGACCGCGAAGGGGGGAGAUCAGCAAUGGCUGACUCUUCGAAGGUGACGUUGUCGCGGGCGAGCCCGGAGCGGUUGGUGCAUCACCACCGCGCCAGGUGCGCGGCGCUGGAGGGGGAGACCCAUGCGCCGUAUGAGGUGGAGGCAGAGCCCACGCAAGUGGAUAGCAGCCACCGCCACUACCUCCACUACGGUAACGCGGCCCACAUAGGCGUCCACUGGCACUCCUCUGAUGCCGUUCAUGGCGGCUACUCGGAGCCGAGCGCCGCUGGGGAGCUCACCGCGGAGUCGCGAGAGACGGGAGCGGUGAACGCGGCGCCCGCCCCCACAACAAGUAGCAGCACCAGCUCCCCCAACUCAGCCUCGACUGCAGCCCGGACUCGCCUUUCAUCGUCUCACCUGUCCCCCCGCACCGCGGGCGAAGGCCAGCGAGCGUCCUUGACGCAUAACCCCCCUGCCGUGCAUGCAGAUCCGGCAGCGCGGCCAGCUGCACCAAUGGCGUCCACGGGCGCAAAUGGCUGCGGCCAUCCAGCCGUGUCGGCGUCAGCUGAGGGCCGACUCAACCAUGUGCACGCCACCGGAGAGGCAGGUGCGCCAUCUUCUGCGUCUUCCCACUCGACUGGGCCGCCGGCGCCGACGGCUGCACCUCCCAAAGACGCGAGCACCACCACCGCUGCCAAGAACCACCCUCUGGCAUCCGCAACGACGCACGCCAGAACGGGUUUUAGUAACGGCAGGCUGCCAUCUCAUCCCGAGCCAGCGGCGUCCACGGCAGCUGGCACCACGCGGCCACCGUCGCACCCACAGCUGCCCCUAUCCCACCCCACCACGUCUAGCGCCGCGGCGGCGGCAGCGGCUACAUUUUCCUCGGGUGCUGUCGCAAAGGAGGGUGGUACCAACGGCGCAGGCGCGAGUACCUCGGACGGGGCUGAUCCCUACGCCCGCCCAGCCAUCGCCCUCAGCGUGCACCUUCUGGACUUGUACAAGAUGGUGAACGCGCGGUACUGCGCGCAGCGGCGCCUCGAGUCCCCGGGACCGAAGUACAACAGCGGCUACGAUGACAAGGAUGGCCACUAUUUGUUCCUACCAGGGGAGGUGAUCUUCCAGCGGUACAUUGCACAGGAGGUGUUGGGCAAGGGCAGUUUCGGCACCGUCAUCCGCGGCUUUGACCAGAAGCGGUCCGAGGCAGUGGCGAUGAAGAUCACGCGUCGCGGCUCGAGCUUUCGGAGCCAGGCGAAGCUGGAGCUUGACAUCCUGUUGCGCCUCAACGAGAACCCAGCACUGAACCACCUCGUGGUGCGACUGUUGAAGGUGUUUGAGUGGCAGGGCCACCUUGUACUGGUGUUUGAGCUGCUGAGCUUCAACCUGUACCAGCUCAUCAAGUGCACCCGGUUCAACGGGGUGAGUCUGGACCUGGUGCGCAAGUUCGCCUACCAGCUGACGCACACGCUGCUGCAGCUUGAGUUGCAGAAGCCGCACCCGAUAAUCCACUGUGACCUGAAGCCGGAGAACAUACUGCUGCGCAAUCAAAACAGAAGCGGCAUCCGCCUGAUCGACUUUGGCUCCGCCUGCUACACUGCCAAGCGUUUCCACCGCUACAUCCAAAGCCGCUUCUACCGAAGCCCAGAGGUGAUACUGUUUCUCGAUUACGGCACGCCGAUCGAUCGCUGGUCGCUGGCGUGCGUGCUGGUGGAGAUGCACACCGGCGUCCCUUUGUUUGACGGCCGCACGGAGGCGGCGCAGCUGGCAAAGAUCGAAGCCACUCUCGGGCCGAUACCGGCGGGAAUGGUGGCGGGGUCGCCCAAGGCAAAUCGGUUCUACUACGGCAACGCCACGUCUGGAUUCCAGCUGAAGGAGCCCAUUCCGGAGCGGCGCACGCUCGAGAGCGUCAUCGGCGUCACCACCGGCGGGCCGCGGGGCCGGCGCCUCAACACUCCCGGCCACGACGAAAAGGCGUACCGCGAGUUCCACGACUUCAUCUCGCGCUUUUUACGAUAUCAACCGGAGGAGCGGAUGAGCUGCCGCGAUGCGCUGCAGCAUCCUUUUCUGAGGCCCCUGUACACAUCAGACCUUCAGCAACAGAAGGAUCGUGAAGUUGCUCAGCCGAUAUCCGCCCCGCAACCCCCACAGAAACAGCAACACACUCAAUGCUCUCAGAACAGCAAACCGCAGCCGCAGUCGCCGAAGAACAUUAAUGCCACAACAACAAAAAUGCUCACCUCCACAGAGCGCAGCCGCGCAUCUGCUCUUCCUCCAGCCGAAUAGAGAUGGGAGGCAGGCGGCGACUACUCCCCUCCCCCGUGGAAAGAGGAACGAAAGGAAAUAACACCAUACAGCCUACACGUCUCGGCCUCUCCCCCUUUGUUUUCGUAAUACCUAUUACUAUCUUCUGCCUCCCUCCCCCCACCCCUUGUUUGCGUGCGUGCUGGUCGACCUGCUCGUUGUGCAUCUGCCUGUGUAAUCUCUCACCUCUGUCCGUCUGUCUUUUGUCGCACUUAAUACACCGUGAUGAUGGCGUCGCUUGUGUGGUUGGUCCCUCCCCGUUUCUCGUUCUCCUGUCUGUUUCUGUCUGUGCCCCGUGGUGUUGUUGUGUGGGGGUGUGAGGUGGGGUGGGGUGGGGUCGGGGACUUCCCUCAGCGUUCGGUUGCUCUGCUGCCUUGCGUGGUAUCCGGUGUGCGCAUGUGUGUAGAUGUCUGCCUUCUCGUUCUCCUCUGUCUGUUUUUUGUUCUGUGUUCGAACGGCGCCCCCCUCUCUCUUCCGCACAGGUGUUGUCGUUGUUGUGUCCCCAAAGUGGGUGAGCUGGUGCGUGUGUAUAUGCGUAUAUGUAUCGCUGCGUGUGCAUGUUUUGCCUUUUUCGCUUAUAGACGAUGGCCUGCCUCUCAUUUCCUCUCUCUUGUCUCUCUCGUGAACGCCGUUGUCUUCCCCUCCCCUCCCCUCCCUCCUUCCCUCUCUCCACAUCUCUAUCUCUGCGUGAUGGAUUCGCUACCUCACGUGGGUGCGUCGCGCGCCCAAACGAGCAAUGGCAGAGACAGUCAAGAGGGGUGGUAGACGCGGCGCUUGCGUCUCUGCCGCUUGUGCUCUCAUCGCCGCACCACUUUGUGCCUCGAUUCUUCUCGUUCUUUCUGUGUACAUGCGCGCACCCCACCACCUGCCACCGUGGAGCCUCUCCUUCAAGGCCUGUAAGACUCUCCUUUCCCUCCAUUCUCUUUCGAUGUUGCUUCACCUGUGCUUCCGCCGCACCUGAAGGAAUGCGGAAGAGGGGGGGGGGAGAGAUGGAUGGAGGGCGACUGCGUCUACGGAGUGUGCCCUUUUACAU
rnacentral:misc_RNA from 1 species